GGCUUUGGGUUAAGUAUCUAAUGGAUAUCACAUCAUUUUACUAUUUGGUAUUGCUUUUGUAAACUACUUUUAUUUUCUUGUUCUAAGUCCACUAUUAGCGGAACUAAAUGCCCAUCGAAUCGGGCAUUAGCUCAGCCCAACCGAAGAACAAAGAGCUCGUGGACAUGGAAAAAUGUUCAGAUCCUAACCAUGUUAGUGGGCUAUCCGACUAACGCCUUUCGAUCCACCUGUGCCACCGUCUGUGUAUGUUUGCUCAUGUGUUUGGCCAAAGAAAACGAAACUUGGAAGGUGACUACUGGUCUUGGCAGAUGAAGCUGCUCCGGGGAAACCGGUGUGCAGGGUGGUGUGAGCGGGGAUGGUUUACAUUUUCGCAGCGGUGUGGAGUGUCUCUACGAGUAUGAGGAAUGGCCAAAAGAGGCAACAAUCAACAAUGGCCAUCCCGACAGCUGCCGCGGAGAUAACUCACAACGCACGACGGAUCGUGAAUAACUACACAAUGAAGGGGCUACGAUAUAUUUUGUAUCUAAAUUUUUUCGGGUGUCAUAGAUAUGUGAGUAGUUAGGUAUUUUGUGUUUUGCAUCAUUUAUCAAGCUCGUUUCGCUGGGGUUAAUCAGUAAGGGAAGCCGCGAUCAUCUCGAUCCCUGGCCAAGUGCAUCGAACGUCUAUAUAUGUGCGGCUCGGGCGGACCUUUUGCCGGGUCGCUUUGGGCCAUGUUGAAAUGCAAUUGGCUACGCCCAAGAGAUGUUGCCAUGUUGAACGGGGCGUAUGAGCAAUCAAGGCAAAUCGGAAAGAAAAGAGUAAAAGCAACAGUGUUUUCACACGCCCCGCCGUGAGCAUCGAACAAAAACACAACUAAAAACAAAAUCGAAAUGUGACUAGUCGUAGGAAUAAGAAAUACGCUGACUUGUGAU
ensembl:ncRNA lncRNA:CR44187 long non-coding RNA:CR44187